rnacentral:lncRNA from 1 species
UGUUAACUAAUUUUGUGGAUUUUUUGUAUGUUCGUUGAAAAAAUUCAGUUUUUCCAUAUUUACUGGUUUAAUUUAUGUGUCUAAAUUGCAAAAAAUGGAGUUUUCCCCUUCUAUUCUUGUUGCUUCUUGUCACUUGUUCACUCAGGAUUGUACCUUUUCCUAUUUUGCUCAAAGCAUGACCUUUUCUUGAGCCGAUUGUCUUUAUUUAUCUUUCUUUUGCUCUAUAUUUCUAAGCUUUUGUUACUUUUCCAACUAAUCUUAUGGGAUUUUGAAUGUAUUCAUAAUAAAAGAUUCAGUUUUUUAGUUACUCAUUUUCCUUCUUUUCUUUCUCAACCGGAUAUGUAUUAAUGUUUCCUUUUUUUUUCUUGUUUUGCAUGGAAAUUCCAUCCGGAGUCCAAAUGGGCUUCCUUUCCUUUGCAUUGUUAAUGGGUCAAUGAGGCCUCUCUUUUCGAGUCAAACUUCGAGGGAAAAUUUUCAAAAGUUCGACCUCGUGGCAUACCGAAACCAAGGAGUCGAAAGAAGAAGAAAUGGAUUAAAGUCCUACGUUCGAAGCGGCCAAGAGACUUGUCUCAUCUGUUAUUUUUAUUUUAGUUUAUUUAUUGUUGUCUUUCUUUAUUUUAUUUAUUUUUUCAUUUGGACCUCGAAGCCAAAGUUGUAUUUAAUACAGGUGAAGUGAAUACUCAAG